rnacentral:rRNA from 1 species
ACGAACGCUGGCGGCAGGCCUAACACAUGCAAGUCGAACGCCGUAGCAAUACGGAGUGGCAGACGGGUGAGUAACACGUGGGAACGUACCCUUCGGUUCGGAAUAACUCAGGGAAACUUGAGCUAAACCGGAUACGUCCGAGAGGAGAAAGAUUUAUCGCCGAGGGAUCGGCCCGCGUCUGAUAGCUUGUUGGUGAGGUAACGGCUCACCAAGGCGACGAUCAGUAGCUGGUCUGAGAGGAUGAUCAGCCACAUUGGGACUGAGACACGGCCCAAACUCCUACGGGAGGCAGCAGUGGGGAAUAUUGGACAAUGGGCGCAAGCCUGAUCCAGCCAUGCCGCGUGAGUGAUGAAGGCCCUAGGGUUGUAAAGCUCUUUUACCCGGGAAGAUAAUGACUGUACCGGGAGAAU